UACGUAGGUGGCAAGCGUUGUCCGGAUUUACUGGGUGUAAAGGGAGCGCAGGCGGGAUGACAAGUCAGCUGUGAAAUGUGUGGGCUUAACCCAUAAACUGCAGUUGAAACUGUUGUUCUUGAGUGGAGUAGAGGCAAGCGGAAUUCCGAGUGUAGCGGUGAAAUGCGUAGAUAUUCGGAGGAACACCAGUGGCGAAGGCGGCUUGCUGGGCUCUAACUGACGCUGAGGCUCGAAAGUGUGGGGAG
rnacentral:rRNA from 1 species